GGAUACCUCAUGAAUGUGUUAGACAAAAGGGGAGGGUUUGGAGCAGGAUCCUCACAGCUGCAUGCAAUGUUGCUCUGCAGGCGACAUUGAUUCCUUGUGGAUUCCUGUGUCUUGUCUCUCCUCCAGGUGCAUCUGUUUCUUAUUUAUUUUAUUUUUUUGAGUUACGGCACUGGAGGAAGAUGGAGCAUGCUUCUAUGCCAGAGUAAAAAAUAUUUUUUAGUAAGUUUUGUUUCCGUAUCUGACUUCCUAAUCACCUUUCUUCUUCACAGAAAGGAGUCUUUAAUUGUGAUAUGUGGUGUGAGGGAACCGUCUUUGGAGAUGAAUAAAUCAGAAGGUAACAGAAGACGAAAGGGAAUUAUUAACGACCCCGGUUGUUGUCUUUCUGCUAGUACAGUUGAUGAGUAGUGCAGUUCCUUUCGUCCAAAUCCCCAAAUUGUAAUUUUUUCCAAGUAUGGUAAAGUCUCAUUUCUGGCCACCUUUCUAAAGGAUGUGCACUUAAUACAUUUAAAUAAAUCCUUCAUUUAACACAAAGGAAAAUACAAAAGGAAAGUAGGCUGCCUGGUAAAGCUAAGUAUGUUCAGUAGCUGACAGUUCUAGUAAUUUACUACCGUUUUCUGUCAGUUUUUCGUAUACAUUUUGUUCCUACAUAAUGUAGUUGUAGAUAGUGAAAGCAACUGGAUUUUAGCUGUCUCCUUUUCUGUUUGUAGACAGAUUGAAAGUCUUCUUGAUAGUCUAGGAACCAAUUAAAUAUUUCUUUAAUGGUUCAACUAAUUGCUCCAUAACUAUUAUUUAUUUUGCUGUGCUUGCUCAUGGUACAGAAAGUUAAAAGCACUAAGAGAUAAUAGAGCAUUAAGGAGAUUAAUGGUGUAAACUAAUUGGGGCUCUUGCUGCCAGGUUUAAUGUUACAUGUCAAUAUAGGGCACUUACAGGAGGCAUGUUUGGAACAUGCCUUGGGUUAUUUAAAGGGACAAUUUAAUCUUAAAUAGACGCUUUCCUCUUUCCUUAUCAACUUUGGAAGUCUGUCUCAUUGCCCGAGGGCUAGUAUGUAACCACAUUGCAACUUUUAGGCGAUGUUUGGAAAGCUGUUGGGAACUUUUUUUUUGGCCAGGAUUUCCACAUUCAUAGAAAUACUCUGUGGGUUUGAAUGUGCGUUGAGGGAUUUAUUAUGGUUAGGGAAAAAAAGGAAAGACAGUGUUUGUUGAUAAUAAAUGAAACUGUUAGCCGUCUUAAAGCCAAUGCCUUGUUUUGCGAAGAGGUUUGCUGAGCAUCUCUGAGGAAUAUUUGUCUUUCUAUGAAGUCAGUGGAGUGUGGUUGUCAGCUCACAGAGCAUCCGAGUCUGAAUUUGGGAAAUGUCCUCUGUAAUCUUUAUUGCUAUUCAAGAAUCAAUAAAAGGACUUGUAAACCU
rnacentral:lncRNA from 1 species